rnacentral:rRNA from 1 species
UGGGGAAUAUUGCACAAUGGGGGAAACCCUGAUGCAGCGACGCCGCGUGAGCGAUGAAGGCUUUCGAGUCGUAAAGCUCUGUUCUAUGGGAAGAUAAUGACGGUACCAUAGAAGAAAGCCCCGGCUAAUUACGUGCCAGCAGCCGCGGUAAUACGUAAGGGGCGAGCGUUGUCCGGAAUUAUUGGGCGUAAAGAGUGCGUAGGCGGCAAAUUAAGGCAGAUGUGAAAACUAAGGGCUCAACCCAUAGAUUGCAUCUGAAACGGAUAUCCUUGAUUCAAGAGGAGGAAAGUGGAAUUCCUAGUGUAGCGGUGAAAUGCGUAGAUAUUAGGAGGAAUACCGGUGGCGAAGGCGACGUUCUGGACUUGAACUGCCGCUGAGGCACGAAAGCGUGGGGAGCAAACAGG